UUCUUUAAAUACCAGACUUCAUGCAGAAGUUUCACACGGUGCUGUGCUUCUAGUAAACAGAAUUGCUUUUAUGCAUGCUGCAGUCUGGAGGUGGCAAGUGCCAGUGUACGGAUGCAUUUAUGAAGGCAAGUGUUGGGUCUUAUUGGCGCCGCACAAGAAACCAACGUGUGAUACCCAGACAUUCACUGUUAGAAACAGGAAAAAGCUAUGGGCCCUUGCUUCAGAUUCUGCAAAAGAUGUACCAAGGCUGAGGAAAAUGGCAAAAAGGGAAGAAAUGCCAUAGCAUAACUUUGGGAUGGCAGAUUGUACACAAAUGGGAGGCCUGAGCAGGCUGCUUUUAGCAGGGGAACGUGACCUGACUGCACAGGAGGCAAGGAACUCCCUUCUCUCGCUGACCAUGAGCCCUCAGUUUCAAGGCAGAUCUGAAGAGGAAUAUUUGACCCGUGGGAAUUGCAACUUCAGAUACGUAACUCAGGUGGGACCGCCGUGUGUGCCCUGUGAUAGGAGCCGUGUAUCCCAACCGUGAACGUAGAGGUUGGGCCCGGUUUUUAGCUUGGUUCAGUAUGAACUCUGCUGACUGAUUCUGUAAUCAAGGGCAGGCAAGUCUGCCCCCUGAGAGGAUGUUGUCAUGGGUGGAAGGGUUGAAGUGCAGUGACUGCAUCAACAAACAGGUGGUUUGAAAAGUCUUUUGGGCAAGGGUCUGGUACGCUGGUGUAAUGCCUUUUCCCUUUUACAAUGGUGUCCAGUAAACACAAGUGUUCCUGCAUGUGUCCAGUAGCGCAGAGACCUCUGUACUUUCUUUGGACUGAUUGUUGUAUAAGAUCUGGGGGUUUUUGGACAGCUCUGAAAAUUGUUCAAAAGGUUUCUUGUAUGUUGGAUGAAAUGGGUCAUCACUUCCAUAAACCUCUAGCCUGUAAAGAAGAGCCGUGGAAGUAAGGAGAUUUUAUUUUUUUUCUCUUUUUAUUGUCACUGGGAGGAAAAGCAGUGAUUAACUAUUGACCUGUGAUACCCCAGAUGCAGGCUGUGCAGUGCAUUUGAGGUGGAUCACUCCUGUACUGCCAAGACUGAGCCCAGACUCCUCAAUGCUUUGCACUCUGGCAGUGGAAGUCCUUGUGCAACUGUGGGUACUGGCUUUCUGU